CAUUAUAUUAUGCAUUUAUAUUAUUUUACGAACAAAUGUAAUGUAAAAAUAUAUUUUUUACUGAGAUUUGAUGUAGUGACAAUUUUGCGUCGUGAUUAUGUAAUGAAGUCAUCACGCAAUGACAUCACAAUGUCAUUUAGCAACUUUUAGCAACAAAACAACCUUCCUUUAGCAACUUUCCCUGAAAAUUAGUUGGCAACAGUGCAGCCAAAUGCUUCAGUAAUGGCGGCGAUUGAUCGAGCGGUAAGUUCGGAAAUUGGUGACCGGAGUAAUGAAUAAUUUUUGCAUUGUAAGUUUGAUUUUUUUAAUUGUUAUCUUAGUGAAUGACAGCGUAACUUUGCCUACUUUAGUUUAAUUGUUCAGUGUAAUCUAAUUAGUGGUAGAAUCGUAGUUUGUGUACAAUGUUACAUCAUGUAUAAUUGUUGCUGUUAGUAUGUUAGGGGGCUAACAUUAACUUCAAAUAUUACGUUUAACGUACCAUUAAAUAUUAACGUUUGUUAACGUGUUAAAAGAGUCUAUUGAAUAAUAAAAAACGAAUGUUGUUUGACUGGAAUUAUAGAAGAUACACAUGCAACACUAACCAUAUAUUUCUGUGAGUUUAGUCUUUCAGGAGAUUGUCUGAUAUCCAUUAACUAAUUGAUUCUUCUUUUAAGAACUGUAUCUAUGUUCAGGUUUACAUACUGUAUAAUUCUGUUCAAUGGGGAGAAAAAACUGUUCUGUGUUCCAGUUGAACUUCUAAGCAUGUGAAUGCAAAACACUUGGUUGUCUUAUUUAUUUUUUAUUUUUUUAAUCUAAACAAAAUAUAAUGGAACUGUUCAUCAUUCCUUAUAACUUUUAGGUCUGGUUUCACAGACAGGGCUUGGAUUAAGCCAGGAUUAGGCCGUAGUUAAAGUAGAACAUUGAAGUAGCUUUUAUAAGCGUGCCUUAGAAAAAAAAAAAAAACAUUACUGAUGUGCAUCUUGAGACAAAACCACAUUACUGACAUAUUUUUGUUUUGUUUAUGAUGCCCAAUAGUUGCCAGAUGCUGUCCUGUCGGGAAAUUCUUCUUCACGUGGUCCUGGAGGAGGGUGAUGCUGCAUUAUUAAAUCUGUCUCUGGUUUGUUACAAAUUCAGAAGUCUGGAGUAUACAGACUCAUUUGAAAGAGGCCACACCUCUGCUGGGUUGACAGUGUAACAAAAUGGAGAACAAGUCUGAGCCAUGCCAGGAAUUCUUCAAAAUGUACACACUGCAGCCCUGCGAUGAGGUUUACAAGAACUGCUUACCAGGUCACCGUAGCCACCAGUUCCAGUCUGUAUCCAGAUCAGAGGGUCACUGCAGUCACC